rnacentral:tRNA from 1 species
GCGGAUGUGGCGGAAUGGCAGACGCAACAGACUCAAAAUCUGUCGGGGGCAACCUCGUGUGGGUUCAAGUCCCACCAUCCGCA